rnacentral:rRNA from 1 species
GACGAACGCUGGCGGCGUGCUUAACACAUGCAAGUCGAACGAGUGGCGAACGGGUGAGUAACACGUGGGUGAUCUGCCUUGCACUCUGGGAUAAGCUUGGGAAACUGGGUCUAAUACCGGAUAGUGCAAGAUGAGCUCGCGGCCUAUCAGCUUGUUGGUGGGGUAAUGGCUACCAAGGCGCGACGGGUAGCCGGCCUGAGAGGGUGUACGGCCACAUUGGGACUGAGAUACGGCCCAGACUCCUACGGGAGGCAGCAGUGGGGAAUAUUGCACAAUGGACGGAAGUCUGACCGAGCAACGCCGCGUGAGUGAAGAAGGUUUUCGGAUCGUAAAGCUCUGUUGUUAGAAAAGCGGUAACUAACCAGAAAGGGACGGCUAACUACGUGCCAGCCGCCGCGGUAAUUC